AUUUUCUACCCUUUUUCUUCCAAGAAAGUUCUGAACAGCUGAAUCCUGGAUCAGCCUAGAUGAUAUUUCACUGGAUUAUUUAAUGAAUAUUACUCUACUGAGUUACCUGGUUACAUGGAUCAGCUGAGAUGUUAUUUCACUGGAUUAUUUAAUUGGGCAUAUAAUUGGAUAAUUCUGUCCUCAACCUGGAAGAUAUGUUUUAUUCCCAACCAUCUAUAAUCCAUUCUCUAUGAAGUUCAGCCUGUCUGCCCAAAUUCCUUUGGAAAUACACAGUUAGUCAACCAACAUAGAAACAAUCAAACUUGAAGGUAAAGUUUCAAUGAGAUAUCAUUUUCAUUUAU